UGCCGGGGGAAGCUUAACCCUGGUUGAAAGUGUACUGAAGGGGUGGAGCUACUCAGUACUCACCAGCUCUUGGAACCUCCCUGUGAGAAGAUUUCCCGUGUUUGCAGCUAGCUCACACAGCAAGGUCUUUCCAGAAAAGAUGUCCCAGAUGCCAAAGCUGACACAUCAGAAAGAUCAUCAUUUGAAGGGCUGCUUCCCACUGGGAAAAAGCAUGAUUUGGUGCAGGGGCAGUAGGAGUUGGAGGCGCUCAGGAGCGAGUGGAAGUGUGGAGUCCCUCACAUCACAACACAUGGACGUGUGCCUGCUCAAGGACCCCCAAGCUUAUUCCAGGCACACUGCAUACAUUGCUUGGAAACCUCAGAAAAUAUCAUGGCAAUGGGAGCUUCGAGGGAAAGGUCUCGAAAUGUCAAUGAGUCAGAAGCACAUAUGACUCUUGGAGUUGGAGAAAAUAUGAUUUUUGAAGUAAAAAAGGCAAAACCACAAACCACAUCAACAACAAUAACAACAAGGAAUGUGUCCCAAGGAGGCCCCACUGGGCAGUACAAAUGCUUCCAUUAAUGAGGUCGGGAAAGGGAGGCCUCACAAAAAAUUCUGUCCCACUCUGAAUAGCCAGCUGACCCUUUCCCACAGGACACUGACCACAAGCAAAGCAAAAGCAACUGGCAUUCUUGACGAACUUCUUGAGAAGAAGACUCACUGGGCCCUGAAGAAAGUGCUGCCCAAGCCCCUCUUGUUUCUCUGAAGUGAACCUUGUGGGGAGGGAGGGGCAGACACUCAACACUCCAGGGACAGGGGUUCAAGUCCCAGCUCAGCCACUUCACCAUGGGGAAACCUCAAGCUAGUCAUGCACUGGCUCUGAGUCAUGGUAUCCCAGUGACCAUGAAUAUGUAUGAUAAUCCUUCCUUCUUAAAGUCAUUGUGAGGGUCCACGGCGUUGUAAACCACCAGAAAACCUACAAAUGCUACUUGUAAGUGAAGGGAGGGUGUGCAUAAACCGUAAUCACCACCCCGAAAGGCAGGAACAAGGAUCUCAACCGGUCCCCUCUGCCGUGGCACACAGCAUCUAGGAGGCCUGCAGCACAGCUUGUCUUUGGACAGAAAGAGCUCAGUCUUGGGUGAGUUCGGGAGAAGCACAUGCAGGGCCAGAUGCAGCUGUGACAGGUUUCCGCAUAUCUCAUCAGAUAGCCUUCUUUCUCUCAUCUUCUCUGCGUCUCCCCUCCUCAGCUCCCUGGGGUCCCUGUGCCUGGAACCUGGCUAGGAGCCUCUCGUGGGGGUCUCUCCCUACCUACAGGGUGGAGGAAGGCCCCCAGGUUUAGGACUUUCAGAGACUUCAGAGGGCAGCACCCAUGACACCCACCUUUCUCCGGCUCCCUUGACUGCCUUUGGCAGUGUCGUUUCAGCGUGCGAUUGUGCUAAAAGACUUCUGUCCCAUGAGGAAGAAACGAGAUGGAUGAGGCAGGUGGAAAGCCUGUCUCGCUGUAUGAGAAAAAUCAUGGUAGAAGAGGGCAUGAAAAGAAGGCAAAAUAAGGACAUGGAAAAUUCCUGAUAAAGACUGCGCGAAGCCUGAAGACGCGAUCACCUUCUUUCACAGUCAUUCCCAAUCCUUUGACACGUGCUGCUGUGGGGCCUGAGGCACUCGCAGCAGAGCCUGAAGGUUUUAGGGCUGAAACAAAAUGCAGUGGCCAAGGAAAACUCUUCUCGGAUUCUACCGCCUCUCUACGCACGCAUCACCUCUCACACCUCACACCACAGCCCCGAGGAGACCGAGGAGCACCCGAGCCACACACCCGAACUUCUUGUUGCUUGAAAGCAUUGAGCCUGGCUUCCUCCCCAAUUCAAACUGCAUGAUCUGACCUACAACUACGAGUGCUUGUCCUCGGUACUGACAAAGGAUGGGUGGUAGGCACAGGGACUCCAGAAACGGAGAAACAGGUAUGAAAGUGGAGCGCUUGUCCUUCCUGCAGGAUGGGGGAGUGGCUAAAAGUUUGGAUUCUGGAGUCAGACUGAGAAGGUCCAAAUUCCACCUCCUCUGCUUCUUGUCGGGGUGACCUGCUUUCUCAACCACCUGAGCCCUCCGAUCCGUCUCUGUCAGUGGGAUAAGCAGACUUUGUGUGCUUCUUCAGGUGAUGCAACGUAAAAUACACAGCGCCAACUCCCACACAUUUUUGCCUUAAAAAUAAAAAUUGGCCCUGAAACUAAUCA
rnacentral:lncRNA from 1 species